UUGAACGCUGGCGGCAUGCUUUACACCUGCAAGUCGAACGGCAGCGCGGGGCAACCUGGCGGCGAGUGGCGAACGGGUGAGUAAUAUAUCGGAACGUAACCAGAAGUGGGGGAUAACGUAGCGAAAGUUACGCUAAUACCGCAUACGAUCUACGGAUGAAAGUAGGGGACCGCAAGGCCGUCUUCUUUUGGAGCGGCCGAUAUCUGAUUAGCUAGUUGGUGGGGUAAAGGCUCACCAAGGCGACGAUCAGUAGCUGGUCUGCGAGGACGACCAGCCACACUGGAACUGAGACACGGUCCAGACUCCUACGGGAGGCAGCAGUGGGGAAUUUUGGACAAUGGGCGCAAGCCUGAUCCAGCAAUGCCGCGUGAGUGAAGAAGGCCUUCGGGUUGUAAAGCUCUUUUGUCAGGGAAGAAACGGUAGAGGCUAAUAUCCUUUGCUAAUGACGGUACCUGAAGAAUAAGCACCGGCUAACUACGUG
rnacentral:rRNA from 1 species